rnacentral:rRNA from 1 species
GAUGAACGCUGGCGGCGUGCCUAAUACAUGCAAGUCGAGCGAACAGACGAGGAGCUUGCUCCUCUGACGUUAGCGGCGGACGGGUGAGUAACACGUGGAUAACCUACCUAUAAGACUGGGAUAACUUCGGGAAACCGGCGCUAAUACCGGAUAAUCUAUUGAACCGCAUGGUUCAAUAGUGAAAGACGGUUUUGCUGUCACUUAUAGAUGGAUCCGCGCCGCAUUAGCUAGUUGGUAAGGUAACGGCUUACCAAGGCAACGAUGCGUAGCCGACCUGAGAGGGUGAUCGGCCACACUGGAACUGAGACACGGUCCAGACUCCUACGGGAGGCAGCAGUAGGGAAUCUUCCGCAAUGGGCGAAAGCCUGACGGAGCAACGCCGCGUGAGUGAUGAAGGUCUUCGGAUCGGAAAACUCUGUUAUUAGGGAAGAACAAAUGUGUAAGUAACUAUGCACGUCUUGACGGUACCUAAUCAGAAAGCCACGGCUAACUACGUG